rnacentral:hammerhead_ribozyme from 1 species
AUCUAGAUGAUGCGUUCCAAAUAGGACAAAAUGUACAUCCUGGAU